CCUACGGGUGGCAGCAGUGAGGAAUAUUGGUCAAUGGACGCGAGUCUGAACCAGCCACGUAGCGUGAAGGAUGACUGCCCUCUGGGUUGUAAACUUCUUUUCUAUGGGAAUAAAAUGUUCCACGUGUGGGAUUUUGUAUGUACCCUAUGAAUAAGGAUCGGCGAACUCCGUGCCAGCAGCCGCGGUAAUACGGAGGAUCCGAGCGUUAUCCGGAUUUAUUGGGUUUAAAGGGGGCGUAGGUGGAUUUUUAAGUCAGUUGUGAAAGUUUGCGGCUCAACCGUAAAAUUGAAGUUGAAACUGGCAAUCUUGAGUACAGUAGAGGUGAGCGGAAUUCGUGGUGUAGCGGUGAAAUGCUUAGAUAUCACGAAGAACUCCGAUUGCGAAGGCAGCUCACUGGACUGCAACUGACACUGAGGCUCGAAAGUGUGGGUAUCAAACAGGAUUAGAUACCCUUGUAGUC
rnacentral:rRNA from 1 species